UGGGGAAUUUUCCGCAAUGGGCGAAAGCCUGACGGAGCAAUGCCGCGUGGAGGUGGAAGGCCUACGGGUCGUCAACUUCUUUUCUCAGAGAAGAAACAAUGACAGUAUCUUAGGAAUAAGCAUCGGCUAACUCUGUGCCAG
rnacentral:rRNA from 1 species